GUGCUCGCUUCGGCAGCACAUAUACUAAAAUUGGAACAAUAUAGAGAAGAUUAGCAUGGCCCCUGCACAAAGAUGACAUGCAAAUUCGUGAAGCAUUCCAUAUUUUU
rnacentral:snRNA from 1 species